rnacentral:rRNA from 1 species
AGCUCCAAUAGCGUAUAUUAAAGUUGUUGCAGUUAAAAAGCUCGUAGUUGAAUUUCUGAUAGAAGGGAGCGGUUCCGCAUUCUUGCGGAUACUGGCUCGUCUUCCGUCAUCCUUGGGCUUAGUCUCGCUGAUAUUAACUUAUCGGCGUGUACGAUGCCCCUCGUUUACUGUGAGCAAAUUAGAGUGUUCAAAGCAGGCAUUUUGCCAUUGAAUAUAUUAGCAUGGAAUAAAAGAUAGGAUUUCACGAUUUUAUUUUGUUGGUUUGCGUUGUGAAAUAAUGAUUAAGAGGGACAGUUGUGGGUAUUCGUAUUCAGAUGUCAGAGGUGAAAUUCUUAGAUUAUCGGAAGACGAACGACUGCGAAAGCAUUUACCAAGGAUGUUUUCA